AUACUGUUUAUUCUCUGCCACAUC
rnacentral:siRNA from 1 species